rnacentral:rRNA from 1 species
CCAAUAGCGUAUAUUAAAGUUGUUGCAGUUAAAAAGCUCGUAGUUGAAUUUCGGGAUCAACAUGUCGGUCGUGCCUCUGGUACGUACUGGUAUCGUUGGUUUCUUCCUUCUGACGAACCAUGAUGUCAUUUAUUUGGUGUCAUGGGAAAUCAGGACCGUUACUUUGAAAAAAUUAGAGUGUUUAAAGCAGGCACACGCUUGAAUACAUUAGCAUGGAAUAAUGAAAUAGGACGUUUGAUUCUAUUUUGUUGGUUUCUAGGAUCGACGUAAUGAUUAAUAGGGAUAGUUGGGGGCAUUAGUAUUCAAUUGUCAGAGGUGAAAUUCUUGGAUUUAUUGAAGACUAACUACUGCGAAAGCAUUUGCCAAGGAUGUUUUCAUUAAUCAAGAACGAAAGUUAGGGGAUCGAAGACGAUCAGAUACCGUCGUAGUCUUAACCAUAAACUAUGCCGACUAGGGAUCGGAUGAUGUUAAUUUUUUAAUGACUCAUUCGGCGCCUUACG